AUUGAACGCUGGCGGCAUGCUUUACACAUGCAAGUCGAACGGUAACAGGUUAAGCUGACGAGUGGCGAACGGGUGAGUAAUGCAUCGGAACGUGCCCGAUCGUGGGGGAUAACGCAGCGAAAGCUGCGCUAAUACCGCAUACGAUCUGAGGAUGAAAGCGGGGGACCGUAAGGCCUCGCGCGAUCGGAGCGGCCGAUGUCAGAUUAGGUAGUUGGUGGGGUAAAGGCUCACCAAGCCAACGAUCUGUAGCUGGUCUGAGAGGACGACCAGUCACACUGGGAGUGAGACACGGCCCAGACUCCUACGGGAGGCAGCAGUGGGGAAUUUUGGACAAUGGGCGAAAGCCUGAUCCAGCAAUGCCGCGUGCAGGAAGAAGGCCUUCGGGUUGUAAACUGCUUUUGUACGGAGCGAAAAGGUUCUCUCUAAUACAGAGGGCUCAUGACGGUACCGUAAGAAUAAGCACCGGCUAACUACGUGCCAGCCGCCGCGGUAA
rnacentral:rRNA from 1 species